UACGAAGGGGGCUAGCGUUGCUCGGAAUCACUGGGCGUAAAGGGUGCGUAGGCGGGUUUUUAAGUCAGGGGUGAAAUCCUGGAGCUCAACUCCAGAACUGCCUUUGAUACUGAAGAUCUUGAGUCCGGGAGAGGUGAGUGGAACUGCGAGUGUAGAGGUGAAAUUCGUAGAUAUUCGCAAGAACACCAGUGGCGAAGGCGGCGCUCUGGACCGAGACUGACGCUGAGGCGCGAAAGCGUGGGGAGCAAACAGG
rnacentral:rRNA from 1 species